ACUACUUUCCUCUCACUCUGUUAAACUUGCACACAAAAUGUUGCCUUUCUCUGCCUAUUUCGCUUCCUCUUAUUCCUUUACUCCUUCACUUACACAUUUUUUUUUGCUGUGUUGUAAGUUUUUGCAUGAUGGCCUUUCUCAGACUCUGAAUCUGAUGUGUACAGAUGAACUCAGGAGCCUGUUAAAGUUGCCAGGGAAUGUGAGCUUGAAGUUUAUUAUUAUAACUGCUUAAUUUAUGUUUAAACAAAAAUAAUAAUUAAACAUGGGGUCAAUAGAUAUUUUCUUGUUUUACAGCUGAAGACCAAAAACACAAAGAAAAUCAGUCACAGCUAGCAAGUCAAACCGGUCCUGAUGAAUGAGGAAUGAAUAUGGCCUUCUUGAGCCCAAACAGAAAAAGACAGAGAGCUGGAAGGUUGCACAUUUCCAUUGCUCCUAGAAUAAGCAAAUCAACUCUGCCAUUAUCUUUGGAAUUUGGGCAGGAAAUGAUCGAAUAUGGAGGAUGAAGCCAGUUUGAAGAGAUCAAUUCAACAGUCACCAAGUUCAGCACUGCAGCCUGAACCCAUCAGGUAUCUGCUGUGAGGACUGCAUUCAUGAACGGCUCUACUGUGACAGCUCAGAUGUUACGGUCCAUAAAAGUAAACUUCACAACUGAUCAACUGCGAGAUAGUUAUGGAGGGAUUCUUUUGGCCCAUACCUCCAACAACCUCCAACAGGAGUCAAUGGACAUCUACACCAGGUGGUGUGUGAGGAGGACCGUCAGAGACUCCAGUCACCCAAGCCAUGGACUGCUCUUACCGUUACCAUCAGGCAGAUGUUAUUGCAGAACCUACACCAGCAGACUGCAAGACAAAUUCUUUCCACGGGCAAUCAGACUGAACUGAACUCGUACCAGUAACACCACACACAGCACAUCAACCUCGUAUGUACUGCACUCUAUCAUUUACACUGACUGGACUCUGACUCACUAUUAUUCUGUAUCCUGACAUUCUGUUUGCACUAAUUCAUACUGUAGUGCACUGCAAUGGUAUAUGUGUACUGUAAUUAUUGUGUUUAUUACUGUUUUCAUUUCAUGCUCUCUGUAUAGUAUAAUAUUUACCGUAUGUUGUUCUUUAGCUGUAUUGAGUCCCUUAUAUAUGUG